GAAAAAACGAAGAACAACAACUUACAACUUACCUUUCUACUUUUGAGGAGACUGGGAGUCACAGAGUCCCUGCCACAAGGUGGAGGGGUAACAGAUUUGAUUGGAAGCAGUGAGUUAUAAAUGGUGCUGUGUCCUCUAGCCCUCUAACCAACACAUGACUGUACAGCUGGCCUCUCUGAUACUAAAUUUUCCCCAUGUGCUAAAGAUCGUACAAGAAGAGGGUUGCAAAAUGAAGAGAAUAGAUUAAUUAUUAUAGUUAAUUAUAUUUCUUGGAAAAUCAACCACUGGUGAGACACCAAAACCCAGAGAAACUGAGGAAGUGGUUAUAUUUGCAUAUGCAUAGAAAUACACAUACAUGUUUGCAGAUAAAUAGAAUUUUGUCUAAUAUGGUAUGUACUAAAUUGUUAACAAUAGCUUCCUCUGGAGAGUGGAACUUAGUGUCAGAAGGAACAUCUAUCUUGUUUUUAACACUAUACAACAAACAUGUUUUAUUAUUUUAAUAUUUUUAAAGUGGUUAUUAAAGAGACCAAUGACUAGUUUGUGCAAAAUAAAAAGAAGCCAGGAAGAUUCUAUAAUAUUAAUAGAUCAGAUUUGAGGUGACACAAGCCUCAAACAGAAUUAAUUCAUCCAUGAUGAUUGAUGAAGAAACUUCCCUAUGGAAAGAAAAUAUGGAUUCCAUUCAAAGCACUUUAUUUUGGUUAUUUAGAAUAUUAAAAUAUACAUAUCCUCUAGCUGUCUUAGAAUUCUGAUUGAUUACUUAUGAAAACAUUUUCUCCUUCUAUGGUACAAUGUUAACAAUAAUACUUAUGAACUAGGCUGCUGUUUGAAGAUAGAUAGACAGAUGUGUGUAUGUAUCUAGAAAGUUAUAGUUACAUAUAGAGUGUGUGUGUGUGUGUGUGUGUGUGUGUGUGUGUGUGUGUAUUCCUUUAAUCCUGUCAUCAGCUCUAGAAAGUAUAAGUUAUCAUCUCCAGUUUAUAGUUGAGGCACAAAAAGGUUAAAUGAGUAGCCCAAAUCAAAAAAGACUAUAGCCAGGAUUCAAGUCCAAAGAGCCCCAGCCCAAAGCUUGUACUCUUGGCCACUCUUGUAUAUACUUCUUGAGAAAAAUAAAUGUAUUAAAAAGGACACCAA
rnacentral:lncRNA from 1 species